rnacentral:sRNA from 1 species
GAAUUUGAGGGUGACCUGGCUGUGACAAGCCACCCACUGAUCACCAGUGUUUUUUCAACUGAUCUUACUGGCUUGCUGGUGUCCCUUUCUCCUCCACAGUUCUGUGUCUGUCCUUCCUGAAGCAGAAUGCUCGGUCAUAAAGGACACUUUCUUUUUUUUUCUAUCAAUAAUAAAGAACUUUCUACAUUGACUGUGAGUCUAAGUGU